rnacentral:rRNA from 1 species
GCCACUGCUAUUGGGGUUCGGCUAAGCCAUGCGAGUGGAGGGCGUCCCGCAAGGGAUGGCCCCGCAGACGGCUCAGUAACACGUCGUUAACCCACCUUAGGGUGGGGGACAACCUCGGGAAACUGAGGAUAAUCCCCCAUAGGCGGGGGAGGCUGGAAUGCGCCCCCGCUGAAAGCUCAGGCGCCCUAGGACGGGACGGCGGCCUAUCAGGUAGUUGGUGGUGUGACG